rnacentral:rRNA from 1 species
GACGAACGCUGGCGGCGUGCUUAACACAUGCAAGUCGAACGGAAAGGCCCUGCUUUUGUGGGGUGCUCGAGUGGCGAACGGGUGAGUAACACGUGAGUAACCUGCCCUUUACUUUGGGAUAACUUCAGGAAACUGGUGCUAAUACCGGAUAGGAGCUCCUGCUGCAUGGUGGGGGUUGGAAAGUUUCGGCGGUUGGGGAUGUACUCGCGGCUUAUCAGCUUGUUGGUGGGGUAGUGGCUUACCAAGGCUUUGACGGGUAGCCGGCCUGAGAGGGUGACCGGCGACAUUGGGACUGAGAUACGGAACAGACUACUACGGGAGGCAGCAAUGGGGAAUAUUGCAAAAGGGGCGGAAGCCUGAUGCAGAAACGCGGCGUGCGGGAUGAAGGCCUUCGGGUUGUAAACCGCUGUCGCCUGUGACGAAGAGUGAGUGACGGUAAUGGGUAAAGAAGCACCGGCUAACUACGUG